GAUGAACGCUGGCGGCGUGCCUAAUACAUGCAAGUCGAACGCGCAGCGAAAGGUGCUUGCACCUUUCAAGCGAGUGGCGAACGGGUGAGUAACACGUGGAUAACCUGCCUCAAGGCUGGGGAUAACAUUUGGAAACAGAUGCUAAUACCGAAUAAAACUUAGUAUCGCAUGAUACAAAGUUGAAAGGCGCUACGGCGUCACCUAGAGAUGGGUCCGCGGUGCAUUAGUUAGUUGGUGGGGUAAAGGCCUACCAAGACAAUGAUGCAUAGCCAAGUUGAGAGACUGAUCGGCCACAUUGGGACUGAGACACGGCCCGAACUCCUACGGGAGGCUGCAGUAGGGAAUCUUCCACAAUGGGCGAAAGCCUGAUGGAGCAACGCCGCGUGUGUGAUGAAGGCUUUAGGGUCGUAAAGCACUGUUGUAUGGGAAGAAAUGCUAGAAUAGGGAAUGAUUCUAGUUCGACGGUACCAUACCAGAAAGGGACGGCUAAGUACGUGCCAGCAGCCGCGGUAAUACGUAUGUCCCGAGCGUUAUCCGGAUUUAUUGGGCGUAAAGCGAGCGCAGACGGUUGAUUAAGUCUGAUGUGAAAGCCCGGAGCUCAACUCCGGAAUGGCAUUGGAAACUGGUUAACUUGAGUGUUGUAGAGGUAAGUGGAACUC
rnacentral:rRNA from 1 species